GAUGAAGAACGCAGUGAAAUGCGAUACGUAGUGUGAAUUGCAGAAAUACGUGAACCAUCGAGUCUUUGAACGCAAGUUGCGCCCGAAGCCUCGGCUAAGGGCACGUCUGCCUGGGCGUCACGCAUCGCGUCUCCCCCAAACCGCCAAGGCGGAGGGGAAGGAAGAUGGCUUCCCGUGCCUCACCCGGGCGCGGUUGGCCUAAAUUUGGAGCCCGCGGCACUUAGCUCUCGCGGCGAUAGGUGGUGAACAAGGCCUUGGCCGUGCAAACAACCCGCUGCGAAGCUCUAUGUCACGUGCGCUCGUCGGACCCUUUGAAGUUGCCUUUGGUGACUUAAAACCUUUGCGACCCCAGGUCAGGCGGGGCUACCCGCUGAAUUUAAGCAUAUCAAUAAGCGGAGGG
rnacentral:misc_RNA from 1 species